GAUGAAGAACGCAGUGAAGUGCGAUAAGUAAUGUGAAUUGCAGAAUUCAGUGAAUCAUCGAAUCUUUGAACGCACAUUGCGCCCGCCAGUAUUCUGGCGGGCAUGCCUGUUCGAGCGUCAUUACAACCCUCAGGCCCCCGGGCCUGGCGUUGGGGAUCGGCGGAAGCCCCCUGCGGGCACAACGCCGUCCCCCAAAUACAGUGGCGGUCCCGCCGCAGCUUCCAUUGCGUAGUAGCUAACACCUCGCAACUGGAGAGCGGCGCGGCCACGCCGUAAAACACCCAACUUCUGAAUGUUGACCUCGAAUCAGGUAGGAAUACCCGCUGAACUUAAGCAUAUCAAUAAGCGGAGGA
rnacentral:misc_RNA from 1 species